UAAAUACUGCCUCAAAUCUUCG
rnacentral:siRNA from 1 species